GCUAGCAGGAAAUGACGGCAGAAGACACUUGUUCAACAGCCUCUUUAACUUACACGAAGCAGAUUGAAUUAUUUCAAGGCUUACAUCAUACGUUCCUGACGUUUGUCUAAAAACAAAUGAUCCAUUAUUUUUUUCUGUGUUGAACUGUGGCCGUUUUUACUCCGCGUGUUUCAUCUUUAAAUGGUCUGAGCAAAGAGAUGCUCUCUUGAUUCUUUGAAAUGGCUCUUUCCAGACCAGAGGGCACAGCAGAGAUGUCACGUCAGCGCAGCUGUGUCUAAUUUUAGACAACAACCUAAAAGGUGAAGUAAAGGUUUAGAAUAAGAGAAGAAGACCUUCUAUAAACAGCUCUAUCCUUCUCUAUAAUGUGUGGCAAUGGCAUAUUGGCCUGUACCACUGUGAACUGCUGAAGACUUUAACUACAGCAUUAACCAUCAGGACACGAAUUCACACUGUUCUGGCUGAAAGGCAGAAGAAUUUGUACAAGGUGAAUCAGAAAGCUCAUAGGACACCGUGAUGUAUUUCUGGCUCUUCGUAGCAGGAGGAGCUACUAUUAUCAUUUUUCUUCUUGUGCUCACGGUGUGUUGUAUUGUUCAUAAACAAAAUAAAACAUUAGAUCAACCAUAUUAUGCAAACAGCCAGCAGGUUCAAGAUGCCAACAAAGAUCAAACCAUCUAUGAGAAUGAUCAUGAGUUCAGAAAAAAUGUCUCCAAAGGAAAAAGACAGUGUUCUUCAGUUUACAUCAAUAGGCCUGAAAAUAAGGUUGCAAUUUAUAUGAACAGUGCCACACAAGCUGACGAGACGUAUGCAAAUUGCACUGACAAUGAUUAUGAAAAUGUGGAGUAGUCUGCUAAGAAGACAGGACUGAAGAUCUUCAUUCCUUAUUCUCUGUUUUUCAAUCAUAGUAUUUUUUUGCACAGUAUUAACCUAAGUGGAUGAAUGAAAUAAAUAAAUGUAACCAUUUCAGCCUUUUUCAGGUAACACACAUGAAUUGAAAAUAAUCUGUUAUAAUGGAAACAUUUUUGUCAAAAAUGACUAUCUUCACAACAGUGAAUAAAGUUUUGCACUUUUGAAAUGGUUGUCUAUGCAAACUCUGUUUAGUAAUGAUGGCUGUCCACAGUUCUGAAUAGUUUGAUACACAAUCUGAUAACUGUUACAUUUAAUAAUUAAUGAAUAAUUUAACUUGUUAAUUUACUGUUGCUAUUCUUGUUUCUACCAUGAAUACAGGUGCAUCUCAAUAAAU